rnacentral:lncRNA from 1 species
AGAUGGGAUUGCUGGAACCUUCUAGCAGCAGAUCAGUGACUUCACACCUGACUAUGCCUGGUUUUGUGAACACCCUAAGGAGAAUGGGGGCAGUGAGUGAGGGGAGUAUCAAUUCGCAGACAAGCAGAUGCUAUCCUUUCUGUAACCUGUGAACUCACUUAAAUACCUCCUGUCACUUCUCUGAUCUCUAGAUAGCACUGGAUAUUCCACACAUCCAACCCUAGACUCAGGGAGCCCUUCUCAUAUACAACACAAAAGGAGGAAACAACUGUCAAGUGAGUUAUGAAUGAACAUAAAGAACAUCUUGAGCCCAAGAAGAAUGUAAACAUAGUGUCUACCAUGGAGCUUCAGGGAAUAUGACUAGCCUGGCUCUACAUGAUGUACGAAUAAGAAAGGACUUCCUGUAUAGGCUACCAUUUGCCUAAGAAUUAGGGACAUCAACUGACACAUGAGAGGUCAUAAAACUACAAAGCUCCAAGAGAAAUAUCAACUUGGAUAAUAAAAAUGUGUACAUGUACACUAUUGAAUACCAUUCAUCUGUAAUUAAAAAUGAAAUCACUA